GAGGAUUUAAUAUUUCUUUUCCUAUUCUCUCAGGUGCACCGAUCGCAAAUCCCAUGCAUGGCAGCUCUCGUGAGAGCAGCUGAUUAGCAACGAGGGGCCGUGUGUGUGGGAAGAAGUGGCAGCCCGGCAAAUGCCCGGCCACCAGGGGAGGCGGGGAGAAGACGAGUGGCUGGUGGACAGGCAAGUGGCCCCGGCCGGAGCAGCCGCAACCGACAAGCAGGCCCAGCAGACAGGUGGCUGUGAAAUGUGGGCGGCCACGAAUGGCAGGCAGCUGGCCAGCCGGAGCGACUGCAACAGGACUACUUUUUGAUUUAUUCCAAGAGACUGGCCUGUAGUUCCCUGGAUUUCACUAAUGAGCACCAUUGAAUAAGUCAGUAUAAUGGCGAUGAAAUACGCAUUCUCCAAAAGAACGCAAGCUUUUUUCCAAGACCUCUUUAACGUGCAGUUACAGAUAUUUCCAGUCUCAGUGCCAGCAUGCUUUGAUACAUAGGUCCAAGCUGCAACCAAGGCUGCAAGCUGACAUAAAAGAAUUUAAACAGACUUGUCUUAUGACUUGGAGAGCCAUCUGGAUGAAGGUCACAAAAGCUCCUCUGACAAACAUGGAUAGGCCCUAAUUAGAAGAGGUGCGGUGGCAAAGAUGUUAUAGUAUUCAACUAAUGAAGGUUAUGGAGUUUUGAAACCCACUUGGUCUCACACUGGUUAACUCGGUAAUUCUCAAAUCACAUGCAGGGGCACACUGGUGUGCCAUAAGGGAACAGCUGAUGUGAUGAAGUUUCCGGUGAGCCCAAAGCACUCACCUGCAGAGAAAGCUGCAUGAUUCCCUGGAAGAAGAGAAGGUGAAGAGCAAUCAGCCUCCAGUGCUGUGUCUCUUGUCUGGUGUGAUCGAUCAUUCAGUCAUUCCCAAGGUGGAGAAACAACAGUGGACAUAGUGGCCUUCAGAGGAGGGAAGCACAGAACAGUGACUCAUGCAGAAACACAGGGGAUGGAUCCUUCCGAUUUCAGGGAGAAGAGAACACAGCACAGAUUUCCAGGGAAAUUAAAGGCAGAAUGUCAUUCAAGAUGAAGCCACAGCUGAGAUGCUGCUGCCAGGCACAGCUACGAACAUCACAUCUGACUACAUGGUUCUAGGAAGGAAAGUAGAGGACUUUAUGGCUGAGGUGAUGAUCUCGUCUAUUCUUCCAGUAAAAGAGAGGGUACUGCAAAGAUAAGGAAGAAUACAUCAGGUGAAUGACUGGUUAUGCAGACAGUGCUGACAAGAAAUAUUCCAUUUCUGGGAGCAUGGUUUAAGCUUCCUUAACGAAGGACAACUGUCAAGAGACAGGUUGCAUCUUGUGAGGACUGGGAAAAUGUGUGUGGCAGAAACCUGACAAACCUCAACAAGAUGGCUGUAUACUACAUCCUGUUGGGGAUGGAGAUGAAAGCCCAAAAGUAAGCAGAGAGCUGAAUCUACCUCAUAUGGCUGUUGUGAGGAAGAAAAGGAAGGACGGACGAAGGAACCACAUGUGCCACCCUGAACUCCUUCAAGAAAGGAAGAAUAUCAUGAAUUAUUACACAUCUUGUACUCAAAUAAUUUGAGUGAAAGGCUGUUUCACAUGUUCGGCAACAGCAAGGAGUGUUUUGUUUACCCUGUGUAUAGCUAUACAUACACAUGAGGGGAAAUCAUCCCUUGCUGUUGCAGGACAUGUGAAGCAGCCCUUUGCCCAAUGUACUUGUAUAUAAUACGACUAAGCAUGUGUCACACUGCUGAAAUGGGGGCUAAUAUAGGUGAAACUAGCAAGAGGUUAAUAUGUAUGGGAGGCAUGGUAUCCAUUUGUUUGUGUGCUUGUUUGUUUUAUUGACUUGUCAUAGACAGCUAUUGGGUGAGUGGCUUACAUACAGUACAGUGCCCCGCUGAUCCAAGAUCAGAACACACACACUAGGGGUGUGUAAAUUGAUUUGCCAUCAAAUCAGUUUGGGUUGAAUCAGAAGUAAUUUGUAUAUUUGACCCUGAAUCGAAUCACCCUCGAAAUAGAGGGCCCAAUUCAGGGUCAAGGAGAAUCACCUUCAAUUUGACCCAAAUCGAUUCGGGUGAUAGGAACACCAUUUUGAGGCCCAUUGUUCUGGGAAAACAGACCUCAAAAUGGUACUUUUCUGGGGAGAGCUGUUCUACCAAUUGGAA